CUGGUCUACAGUGUAUAUAAAUAUUAAUUGAAUAAGAUUUCUUUGUGAACGGUUGGUUUUAAUCUGUAACAACAGGUGUACCUCACUUAAUAACGGCAGAUAUGGUAAAAGAGGGAGCUGCAGUUAUUGAUGUCGGCAUCAACCGCAUGCAGGACCCCGUCACUGGAAAACUUCGUCUUGUUGGAGAUGUGGAUUUUGAAGCUGUGAAGAAGAAGGCUGGAUUCAUCACUCCUGUGCCUGGAGGAGUCGGCCCAAUGACCAUCGCCAUGGUAAUGAAAAACACAGUCACUGCUGCCAAAAAUGCUCCAACAUACUGAACAAACACAAAACCUGCCAUUAUGGGUGGACAAGAUACAAGCACUUCAGUCUGGAUACUUUAAUUGGCACUAUUUGUCUGUAUCUUGAUUAUAAACACAAGCCCCUGCAAGCUUCCUCUACAACAUCCUUCCCUGCCCGUCGGCAAGCUGUAACAGGCCGUUCUAGCUGGCACGGCAGCCAUGCAUGGCUAUGACGGUAACUACACCCUAAUUCUUUUCUUAAAAAUUAGAGAGGUGCCUCCUCACUGAUUCUAAGUAGCUGCUACAGUGCUACAGUAUUAUUAUUUUGUCAGAGCCGAGAAAAUAAGGAGGGUUUACUGUGCAAGUGUAACAUUACCUCCCUGACAAUGCAUGGGUGAAGCCGGAAGUCUUCGUUGCAUCAUCCUCACUGAGAGUUUCGGUACGACUUGACUGGCUGCUCAACAGGUGACCUCAUGGCAGGGUAAUAGACGGUUCUCGGAUAUCUGACAGAUGAAUCUGUUGACACUGAGACAAACGGGACAUUAACACAUUUUCUCAGGAAAUCAUUUUAAAAGUGUAGUUUGAAU